rnacentral:lncRNA from 1 species
UAAAAUCAUCUCUGUCACAAUUUAGCAAAGUGAGACAGAGAGAGUAUGGCGACCACACUUCAUUGUCUCUCCACACUCCAUCUUCUUCCUCGCACCACCCAUCGUCCUAAAACUCUCAACUCUCUCAAACCAGCCUCCAAGGCGCAACCUCCCAAGAUCCCAGAACUACCCUCCAUUCCCAACGCCCUCCAGCUCCUUAAAUCAUCUUCCCUCCCUCUCGCACUCACCGCAUUGCCCUUUCUCAUCGAUCCACAGGAUGCAGCAGCAGCUGGAGGACAGUUUGGGAUCCUGGAAGGACGAUCGUUCGCGUUGAUACACC